rnacentral:rRNA from 1 species
ACAUGCAAGUCGAGCGAAUCGAUGGGAGCUUGCUCCCUGAGAUUAGCGGCGGACGGGUGAGUAACACGUGGGCAACCUGCCUAUAAGACUGGGAUAACUUCGGGAAACCGGAGCUAAUACCGGAUACGUUCUUUUCUCGCAUGAGAGAAGAUGGAAAGACGGUUUACGCUGUCACUUAUAGAUGGGCCCGCGGCGCAUUAGCUAGUUGGUGAGGUAAUGGCUCACCAAGGCGACGAUGCGUAGCCGACCUGAGAGGGUGAUCGGCCACACUGGGACUGAGACACGGCCCAGACUCCUACGGGAGGCAGCAGUAGGGAAUCUUCCGCAAUGGACGAAAGUCUGACGGAGCAACGCCGCGUGAACGAAGAAGGCCUUCGGGUCGUAAAGUUCUGUUGUUAGGGAAGAACAAGUACCAGAGUAACUGCUGGUACCUUGACGGUACCUAACCAGAAAGCCACGGCUAACUACGUGCCAGCAGCCGCGGUAAUACGUAGGUGGCAAGCGUUGUCCGGAAUUAUUGGGCGUAAAGCGCGCGCAGGUGGUUCCUUAAGUCUGAUGUGAAAGCCCACGGCUCAACCGUGGAGGGUCAUUGGAAACUGGGGAACUUGAGUGCAGAAGAGGAAAGUGGAAUUCCAAGUGUAGCGGUGAAAUGCGUAGAGAUUUGGAGGAACACCAGUGGCGAAGGCG